CACUCAUCUGCGACAUCUGGGAUCGAUUUACUGCACACUGAUUUCAGCACAGGGGGCGAUGUGUGACCUUUCUACCAGCAAUGAUUCAAAGCUUUGUCACCACAGACCCCCUCACCUGCCCGAGUUUGCUGCUGCUGCUGCUGCGUAUAAAGACAAG